GAUGAACGCUGGCGGCGUGCCUAAUACAUGCAAGUCGAGCGAACAGACGAGGAGCUUGCUCCUCUGACGUUAGCGGCGGACGGGUGAGUAACACGUGGCUAACCUACCUAUAAGACUGGGAUAACUUCGGGAAGCCGGAGCUAAUACCGGAUAAUAUAUUGAACCGCAUGGUUCAAUAGUGAAAGCCGGUUUUGCUGUCACUUAUAGAUGGAUCCGCGCCGCAUUAGCUAGUUGGUAAGGUAACGGCUUACCAAGGCAACGAUGCGUAGCCGACCUGAGAGGGUGAUCGGCCACACUGGAACUGAGACACGGUCCAGACUCCUACGGGAGGCAGCAGUAGGGAAUCUUCCGCAAUGGGCGAAAGCCUGACGGAGCAACGCCGCGUGAGUGAUGAAGGUCUUCGGAUCGUAAAACUCUGUUAGUAGGGAAGAACAAAUGUGUAAGUAACUAUGCACGUCUUGACGGUACCUAAUCAGAAAGCCACGGCUAACUACGUG
rnacentral:rRNA from 1 species